rnacentral:rRNA from 1 species
CUGGCUCAGGAUGAACGCUGGCGGCGUGCCUAACACAUGCAAGUCGAACGGGUUAAGGAAUUUCGGAUGGAACUUAACUAGUGGCGGACGGGUGAGUAACGCGUGGAUAACCUGCCUCACACUGGGGGAUAGCAGCUGGAAACGGCUGGUAAUACCGCAUAAGACCACGGUGCCGCAUGGCACCGGGGUAAAAGAUUUAUCGGUGUGAGAUGGAUCCGCGUCUGAUUAGCCAGUUGGCGGGUAACGGCCCACCAAAGCGACGAUCAGUAGCCGGCCUGAGAGGGUGAACGGCCACAUUGGGACUGAGACACGGCCCAAACUCCUACGGGAGGCAGCAGUGGGGAAUAUUGCACAAUGGGCGCAAGCCUGAUGCAGCAAACCGCCGCGUGAGUGAAGAAGUAUUUCGGUAUGUAAAGCUCUAUCGGCAGGGAAGAAAGGCCCGAAAGGGAGAUGACGGUACCUGACUAAGAAGCCCCGGCUAACUACGUGCCAGCCGCGGC